rnacentral:rRNA from 1 species
CCUACGGGCGGCAUCAGUGGGGAAUAUUGCACAAUGGGGGAAACCCUGAUGCAGCGACGCCGCGUGAGUGAAGAAGUAUUUCGGUACGUAAAGCUCUAUCAGCAGGGAAGAAAAUGACGGUACCUGACUAAGAAGCCCCGGCUAACUACGUGCCAGCAGCCGCAGUAAUACGUAGGGGGCAAGCGUUAUCCGGAUAUACUGGGUGGAAAGGGAGCGUAGACGGGAGCGCAAGUCUGAAGGGGAAUCCCAUGGCUUAACCAUGGAACUGCUUUGGAAACUGUGCAGCUAGAGUGCAGGAGAGGUAAGCGGAAUUCCUGGUGUAGCGGUGAAAUGCGUAGAUAUUAGGAAGAACACC